GACGAACGCUGGCGGCGUGCUUAACACAUGCAAGUCGAACGGAAAGGCCCUGCUUUUGUGGGGUGCUCGAGUGGCGAACGGGUGAGUAACACGUGAGUAACCUGCCCUUGACUUUGGGAUAACUUCAGGAAACUGGGGCUAAUACCGGAUAGGAGCUCCUGCUGCAUGGUGGGGGUUGGAAAGUUUCGGCGGUGGGGGAUGGACUCGCGGCUUAUCCGCUUGUUGGUGGGGUAGUGGCUUACCAAGGCUUUGACGGGUAGGCGGCCUGAGAGGGUGACCGGCCACAUUGGGACUGAGAUACGGCCCAGACUCCUACGGGAGGCAGCAGUGGGGAAUAUUGCACAAUGGGCGGAAGCCUGAUGCAGCAACGCCGCGUGCGGGAUGACGGCCUUCGGGUUGUAAACCGCUUUCGCCUGUGACGAAGCGUGAGUGACGGUAAUUGGUAAAGAAGCACCGGCUAACUACGUG
rnacentral:rRNA from 1 species